AAAAAAGAAAGAAAAUUGAAUAGAUGGACCAGUGAAGAGACUGAUACAACUGAAAUUACUUUGUUUUCCCCUAAAGUCAGACUAUCAAACGCUUUAUAGUAAUAAACUAAGCAGGCGGAAAGACUUGUGUUCCUGAAGAGCGAGGUUGGCUGGGUUGGCAGGGCUUAGUGUAACAGCUCCAUUCUCCACUAGAUGGCGCUGCCAUUCUACUGGGGUGGAUUGUUUCGGUGCGCAUAGGUGUGUAUGCGCAUGCGUGGGAGAGGUGAGCUUGGCAAGAAUGGCGUCACCCAGGUACUGAGUCUCUAGUAUCGUUGCUCUGUUCUUCCCGAUCAGCAACUUUGCCCCCGUCCUCUGUCUUCAGCUUUCGUCCACUCCCCGCUUCUUCACUGUCCCCAGGCAGCACUUCCCUCCUGAGUUUUGUCUCAGAUGUGACUGUUUUUCCCAACCCCUUACUUCUGACGGACUACGGCUUUGACCUGUUCCGCCCCUCUGCGGGAGGGUCUCACCAAGCAAUGGCCGGGUGCCGGCUGCAGCCAGGAACAUUCACUGGCCGUGCUGCUGCCGACGCCCAGAGACUGCAGCCGGGUGCCAGCCCGCCCCGGAAAAAGUUUGCGAGACAGCGUAGCAGCAGCGCCUCAGGGAUUAUGGAAAAUCACAACACGCAUCUGGCACCAGGCUUCACCCCCAGCGAUCUUGUUCCAGCACCAGUGAAUGCAGUUAUUCUCCUGGGUCUACCGGGGCCUUGCCUUGGGGGGGCUGCACAGCCUCUACCAGGUGUCCUCCCAGCAGGGGAACUACCUCUCCCCGUGUGGCCUGAAGAACUCCGGACUCCACUCUGCUCCUCAGGAUUUGCCCUUCUGACCAGAGCACCGCCAGGCUGCCUCCUUUGAAGAUCUGAUUCACUGAAGAGUGAACUAUACUCAUGAAAAAGUGGUCCAAAUGGGUGAUGUUGACAGAAGACAAGCUACUCUAAAUUUCAUGUGCACAAGGUUCAGCAAAAUGGAAUUGCAAAGUGACAAAGGAGAAGCACCACUCUCAGGGGCCCAGGAACCCCAGAAAUAGUAAGAGAAUGUUGGCCCCUGUAUGAAUACUAUGAAACAGAUAAGAAACAAGAUGAUCAGUCUUCAUUACUACUACAACAUACCCAGGGUGCAGGAACCCGGAGCUACCAAGAUUUCAGUGAUAUGGACAAACAUUGAGCUUUCAAGAAGGCAGGAAUGUCCUUUUUAGCCAAGAGGAAUCAUCCCAGGAAUGGUAACCAGAUGUUUUUUUGACCUAAAGCAUGGGGGGAAAAUAGCAUUUUAGCCAGAUUUUUAUCAACCAACUUUAGAGUAGAAAAAUAAACAAUAGGUAUUUCUAAAAGUUAUGUGUAUUUCCAAGGGAUGUUAUAGCUUUUAGAAAAUGUAUCUUGGUAAAUGACUAAGAAGUAUCAUUAAUAAUAAUAAAACCACUAUAAAUCAAGUGAGGUAAUAUGCUAAGUUAUUUGCAUCAAUUAUCUUGUUUAAAUUAUCAUGUUAAAAAUACUGUGAGGUGUUUCCACAGAUAAGAAAACUCAGUCUCAAAAAGGUAAAUAAUGUGCUGAGGUUACCCAGCUAGUGAAAAGUUACACUGCCUUUAUAAUAAGUUGCAAUACAUUUCACACUUGCUUGGGGGAAAAGAUGAAUGUAUUAUUUCAUGAAUGUGAGCAGUCCAAUGGCAGCUACACCCUCAGUAUGGCAAAGAUGUCAUUGGGAUUCAGUCUGUUUUCUCUAUCCCUUGAUCAUUUUUCCUCUCUGUGUUCUUCAUUCUCAGACAAUAUUCCUACAUGAUAGCAAAAAAAGUCGCUAGCAUACUAGGCUAUAUCUGUGGAGUUAGGCAUUACAUACUCUCAGAGAUGCAAAGAAAUAAAAGUAUGUUGCAUGUAUCGCUACUCUGGUUUUGUUCUGAAGUUUCCAUUAAUGCUAAAGGUGGCGCCUCUUCCCACCACCUAUUAAACAUAAUACAGUCUUUAGUCAAUGACAUUACAAUAGUGUUGUAUGGUGACAGAUGGUGGCUACACUUGUGGUGAGCAUAGCAUAAUGUAUAGAGAUGUUGAAUCACUAUGUUGUACACCUGAAACUAAUGUUAACAUUGUGUGUCAACUAUAUUCAAUUAACAAAACAAAACACAGUCUCUGCCACUUUACACUAGACUAUUUUAGAGCAUCUCAAGAUGUUUCAGAAAACACGCAAUCACAUAUGAGAUUCAAACAAUUCUCUCUGCUCAGAAAUUGGCCCAUCUAUUUUCUCUUACCCUAAAUGGUGACUGGUUAUAGGAAAAGCUCAUGAACCCUUAUGGAGAGUGGUGGCUGGUUUACAUGCUAUCUUCAUUGGUCUUGGCAUGUUCCUUGUCUGCUUGACCAAGGCUGUUGGCUCUCAAUUCCCAAGACUGUUGGCUGUCUCACUCACCAUAGUUUACUCCACAUUAUACAGAGUCUGGGGGUAUAAACACGUGCAGUCUUGGGUCAACUCCCUUUUACCAGAGAUGUUCUUCCAUCGUGCUACUUCCUGUUCCAUCUUGUUCCAGUGUUGGUUCGAAGCACUGUGUGAAUCAGUCUCUUCCACCAAUCUGAAAUAGGAGGCAGGAUGCAAGUCCUCCCUGUUUUGGAUUUUCCUCUCAAACUUCAUAUUUUCAUCUUAUAAUUUUAAUUUUAUUUUAUUUUUAUGAUGUUCAUUUUAAGAGACAGAGCGGGAGGGCCAGAGAGAAGGACAGAGAGAAUCCCAAGCAGGCUCUACACCGUCAGUGUGGAGCCUGACAUGGAGCUCUAACUAGCCAACUCGCAAAGUGUGAGAUCAUGACCUGAGAGGAAAUGAAGAGUCAGAUGCUUAACUGGCUGAGCCACCCAGGCGUCCAUCUCCUGCCUUUCUCAGAUGAAUUUCUUAUAUGUUUCCUUUCCAGUGGAACAGAAUGUGUAAUGCAGCAAAGAAAGUAACCACAUUAGGAAGAAAGGAACAUCAUCAACACUGUAGUGAAGAAGAUUCCUCUCUUUUGACGGCUUUUAGUAAAGUCAUGAGCAUGACUCAUGGUGAUACCAUGUAGGUUCUAUGUCUAUUUUAAACCCAUCAUUAUGGAAAGGAAAUGGAACACCUUAAUUGGCCAAGCCUGAGUUAAAUGUUAAUGUUAAAGAGGUAGUAGAAAUGAGAUACAGUUCAUCCAAACUGGAUAGAAUAUCAGAGAAGAGAGUUUAGAAAGAAGGAAGAGAUUUAUAAUAAGCUAUGCACAGUUAUGCUUAGUGUGCAUUAUGGAUACAGUGGAAUGACUAGUUUUACAAUUAAUUUACAUUAAUUUCCUUCUACAUACUUGGAAAACCCAAGGUAUAGAAACAUAUAAAACAAGAUACUUUUAUCUACCUCCCUCCCUUCCUCCCUCUCUCUCUCUCUCUUUCAUCUAUCUACACUUUUAUUUAUCCCAGCAACUUGGCCUUUAUUAUCCUAAGGAAAUAAAAUCCUCAGCCUUAAAAGAAAGUUAAAAAAAAAAAAAAGAUAAUCCAGUACUUCUGAGUAUCCAAAGUCUUGGGUUCCAAUAAUAGAUUUCACUUUAUGAGAUUUUUUUUUUCCAACUUAUACAUUAACUUUUCAGUCUAAUUCCCAAGUAAAUUAUCCCCUCCACAUCAUAUACCCUCCAAUAUAUAUGCAUAUAUAAGUGGCCAUUUUUCUGUGUUCGAAGCCUCAUAAUCAAGAAAUGAGUUAAAACAUCUAUCCUAACCAGGUUCCUGGGUGGCUCAGUCUGUUAAGCUUUCCACUUCAGCUCAGGUGAUGAUCUAACAGUUCAGUUGGUGGGUUCAAGUCUCACAUCGGGCUAUGCACUGACAGCGUAAAACCUGUUUCACAUCUGUGUCUCCCUCUCUCUCUGCCCCUCUCAUGUGCACUCUCUCUCUUAAAACUAAAUAAACAUUAAAAAAACAAAAAAAUCUACCCU